rnacentral:rRNA from 1 species
GAUGAACGCUGGCGGCGUGCUUAACACAUGCAAGUCGAACGGAAAGGCCCAAGCUUGCUUGGGUACUCGAGUGGCGAACGGGUGAGUAACACGUGGGUGAUCUGCCCUGCACUUCGGGAUAAGCCUGGGAAACUGGGUCUAAUACCGGAUAGGACGAUGGUUUGGAUGCCAUUGUGGAAAGUUUUUUCGGUGUGGGAUGAGCUCGCGGCCUAUCAGCUUGUUGGUGGGGUAAUGGCCUACCAAGGCGUCGACGGGUAGCCGGCCUGAGAGGGUGUACGGCCACAUUGGGACUGAGAUACGGCCCAGACUCCUACUGGAGGCAGCAGUGGGGAAUAUUGCACAAUGGGCGCAAGCCUGAUGCAGCGACGCCGCGUGGGGGAUGACGGCCUUCGGGUUGUAAACUCCUUUCGCUAGGGACGAAGCGUUUUUGUGACGGUACCUGGAGAAGAAGCACCGGCUAACUACGUG